AUGGUUAAGUUAGAAAGGGCGCACGGUGGAUGCCUUGGCACUAGGAGCCGAUGAAGGACGGGACGAACACCGAUAUGCUUCGGGGAGCUGUAAGCAAGCUUUGAUCCGGAGAUUUCCGAAUGGGGAAACCCACUGCUCGUAAUGGAGUAGUAUCCAUACUUGAAUACAUAGAGUAUGAGAAGGCAUACCCGGGGAACUGAAACAUC
rnacentral:rRNA from 1 species